GAAAUGCGAUAAGUAAUGUGAAUUGCAGAAUUCAGUGAAUCAUCGAAUCUUUGAACGCACAUUGCGCCCGCCAGUAUUCUGGCGGGCAUGCCUGUUCGAGCGUCAUUACAACCCUCAGGCCCCCGGGCCUGGCGUUGGGGAUCGGCGGAAGGCCCCUGCGGGCACAACGCCGUCCCCCAAAUACAGUGGCGGUCCCGCCGCAGCUUCCAUUGCGUAGUAGCUAACACCUCGCAACUGGAGAGCGGCGCGGCCACGCCGUAAAACACCCAACUUCUGAAUGUUGACCUCGAAUCAGGUAGGAAUACCCGCUGAACUUAAGC
rnacentral:misc_RNA from 1 species